rnacentral:lncRNA from 1 species
CCCACGGCUUGGUUUGAUCACAGUGCUGUGCCCAGAGAGGCUGAGAAUCUAAAGGGAAAAAAUGAAUGUUGUUGAAAAAACUGCCUAGUCUACUCUUGGCGGGAGCUGCCUGUGAGGAUGUCAGGUGGAACUGAAGUCAAGGAAUUGAAGGGGAAACAGGAAACCUAGGCUUGUGGUAUUGGCCGCUUGAGAACUACACUUCCCAGAAUCUCUCGGGAAUGAGAGCCAAUCAGCAAGCCGGACAGAGCCUUUAUUCAGUAGCAGAACCCUGGCUGGCUGCCUGUCCCUGUUUGUUGGCAUACAUUCUGAGCACCCCUGACCCUGAAUAUCUCUUCAGUCCUCCACCCAACUGCCAGUCUUCUUAGAUGGUGAGGCCUGGCCUGAGCUCCUCAAGGGGGACCCUGAGGUAAGAACCCAGAGCAAAUGAAGCAAAUGACAAAAAUCAUUUUUUAACAUCAAUUCUGAAAAACAGCUCUAAAGAUAAAGACUAAGCUGUCUAAAGAGAGUUGGCAUCAACCUUGGGGAGAAAUUACAAGUUUGAAGAGGAAAUCUUACUAUGAGCUUUUAAUAGCCUAAACUUAUAAAUCUGCUUACUCCAGUACAUAUAUUGAUAAUUUUCUGAGAUUAGAGAAAAGUAUGGAAGACUAUCACAAUCAGGUGUUCUUUGAUCAUAUACAAAGUGUCCUGUUUAAUGAUCUGUCCUAAUUAGAAUGCCAUCUUGAUUUCCAAAUCAGCUUCUUCCUUGGUUUCACAAGUGGGAUUGUAAAUUAAAAGUCGGUAAAAGGCAAUAUCAUUUAAUUGUCUGGAAAUUUCCUGCUUUAUAAUCUGUGUAAAUCUGGAUAACUGCUUCCUUCUCAAUUCAUUCUCAAUUUCAAAACAAAAGUUCUGUUCCCGAGAUGGGGUUUAUCAUUUUCUGCGGA